rnacentral:rRNA from 1 species
GACGAACGCUGGCGGCGUGCUUAACACAUGCAAGUCGAACGGAAAGGCCCUGCUUGCAGGGUACUCGAGUGGCGAACGGGUGAGUAACACGUGGGUGAUCUGCCCUGCACUUCGGGAUAAGCCUGGGAAACUGGGUCUAAUACCGGAUAGGAGCCAUUUUUAGCGUGAUGGUCGGAAAGUUUUUUCGGUGUAGGAUGAGCUCGCGGCCUAUCAGCUUGUUGGUGGGGUAAUGGCCUACCAAGGCGGCGACGGGUAGCCGGCCUGAGAGGGUGGACGGCCACAUUGGGACUGAGAUACGGCCCAGACUCCUACGGGAGGCAGCAGUGGGGAAUAUUGCACGAUGGGCGCAAGCCUGAUGCAGCGACGCCGCGUGGGGGAUGACGGCCUUCGGGUUGUAAACUCCUUUCGCUAGGGACGAAGCUUUUUGUGACGGUACCUAGAUAAGAAGCACCGGCUAACUACGUG